rnacentral:rRNA from 1 species
UACAGAGGGGGCAAGCGUUGUUCGGAAUUACUGGGCGUAAAGGGCGCGUAGGCGGCCUGUUAAGUCGAACGUGAAAUCCCCGGGCUCAACCCGGGAACUGCGUCCGAUACUGGUAGGCUUGAAUCCGGGAGAGGGAUGCGGAAUUCCAGGUGUAGCGGUGAAAUGCGUAGAUAUCAGAAAGAACACCAGUGGCGAAGGCGGCCCUCUGGUCCAUUAUUGACGCUAAAGCACGAAAGCGUGGGGAGCAAACAGG